AAGUCGUAACAAGGUUUCCGUAGGUGAACCUGCGGAAGGAUCAUUACCAAAAAAGUGAGAAAUCGCUUUUCUUACCUGCUCGGUGGCCCCCUGGGGUCACUGGACUGGGUCAACCCUUUGUGAACCAAAAAACCUUUCGCUUCGGCAGCUGGGCCUGACCGCCUGUCAGCCUGCCGUUAGCACCUUUCAAAAAAACUUGUUUGUCAAAACAUUGUCUGAUAACCAAAUUUUCGAAUGAAAAUCAAAACUUUCAACAACGGAUCUCUUGGUUCCC
rnacentral:misc_RNA from 1 species